rnacentral:ncRNA from 1 species
AAAAAAAUUUUUAUAGUUUAUAAAUUUUAUUAUAAAUUUAUUUUACAUACAAAUUUUUGUAUAAAAUUUUAAUUAUUUUAAGAAUAAUUAAUUAAAUUUUGUAGUAAUUAAUUUUAAAUUAUUUAAGAAAUUAAGAUUUAGUAAUAUUUAAAUUAAUAACAAAUUUUGUGCCAGCAGUUGCGGUUAAACAAAGGUUAAAUUAAAAUUUUUCAGUAUUAUAAUAAAUAAAUAAAAAUUAAAAUAAAUAUUAAAUUAUUAGGUGAAAUUUUAAUUUAAUAAAAUUUUAUAUAUUAUUUAUGAUUUAAUAAAUUUAAUAAAAAACUAGGAUUAGAUACCCUAUUAUUAAAAUUUAAUAUUAAAUACUAAAAUAGUAGGUAAUAAUUUAUUGAAACUUAAAUAAUUUGGCAGUAUUUUAGUUUAUUUAGAGGAAUCUGUUUAAUAAUUGAUAAUCCACGAAUAAAUUUACUUAAUUUAUAAUUUUAUAUAUCGUUGUUAAAAAAAUAUUUUUAAAUAAUAAUAAUAUUUUAAAAUUUAAAUAAAAAAUUAACUCAGAUCAAGAUGUAGAUGAUAAUUAAGAAUAUAAUGGAUUACAUUAAAUUUAUUUAAAUGGAUAUUUGUUUGUAAUAUAUAAUUAAAGGUGGAUUUAAAUGUAAUUUUAUUUAAUUUAAUAAAAUGAUUUUAAAUUAAAAUAUGUACAUAUUGCCCGUCGCUUUCAUUUAAAAAUUGAAAUAAGUCGUAACAAAGUAGAAGUAUUGGAAAAUGUUUCUAGAAUGAU